rnacentral:SRP_RNA from 1 species
GCUGGGUGCGGUGGCUCACACCUGUAAUCCCAGCACUUUGGGAGGCUGAGGUGGGAGGAUCACUUGAGGUCAGGAGUUCAAGACCAGCCUGGCCAACAUGGUGAAACCCCAUCUCUA